AUUGAACGCUGGCGGCAUGCCUUACACAUGCAAGUCGAACGGCAGCGGACCUUCGGGUGCCGGCGAGUGGCGAACGGGUGAGUAAUAUAUCGGAACGUACCUUUCAGUGGGGGAUAACGUAGCGAAAGUUACGCUAAUACCGCAUAUUCUGUGAGCAGGAAAGCAGGGGAUCGUAAGACCUUGCGCUGAUUGAGCGGCCGAUAUCAGAUUAGCUAGUUGGUGAGGUAAAGGCUCACCAAGGCGACGAUCUGUAGCGGGUCUGAGAGGAUGAUCCGCCACACUGGAACUGAGACACGGUCCAGACUCCUACGGGAGGCAGCAGUGGGGAAUUUUGGACAAUGGGCGCAAGCCUGAUCCAGCCAUGCCGCGUGAGUGAAGAAGGCCUCGGUUGUAAG
rnacentral:rRNA from 1 species